GUCCUCGCGGAGCUGCUCCGACCUCCUGCCGGCCCUCUGCGCGCCCCGGCCGCCGGAGGAUGCUGCGUGGGCUCGGUUGUCCUGCCAUAAGUAGUAGAAAGUGCCCAGGAUCCAGGCUACGGUCAGGAUGGCGAUGGCAUUGGCGCGGAUCUUCCUCAUGGAAUGGACUCCAGCAGCAUCACAGAAUCAAAGCAACACCUAAGGAAUUCACUGUUUCUUCACAUACUUUGAACUGUGAAAACAAGAGUCAUCAUAAUAGCUGCAGUUUACUCAGUACCUACCAGGUGCCAGCCACUGUGCCACCACUUCACCUAUACUGUCUCUAAAGCCCCUACAACCCUGAGCUAAGGAUGAUCAUAUCCCCAACUGCAGAUGAUGACACUGAGGCUCAAAGGCUACUCAACUUGCCUGGAAUCCUACAG
rnacentral:lncRNA from 1 species